rnacentral:rRNA from 1 species
GACGAAGGUGGCGAGCGUUGUUCGGAAUCACUGGGCAUAAAGCGCUUGUAGGCGGCUUGUUAAGUCGCGUGUGAAAUCCCUUGGCUCAACCAAGGAAGUGCGCGCGAAACUGGCGAGCUCGAGUGCCGGAGAGGGUCGCGGAAUUCCCGGUGUAGAGGUGAAAUUCGUAGAUAUCGGGAGGAACACCAGUGGCGAAGGCGGCGACCUGGACGGACACUGACGCUGAGACGCGAAAGCGUGGGGAGCAAACAGG